rnacentral:tRNA from 1 species
GGGCGGCUGGCGCAAUGGUAGCGCGUUGCUCUCCUAUUAAGAGCACCAAGCAAAGGUUGCAAGUUCGAGUCUUGCGUCGCUCG